rnacentral:rRNA from 1 species
GAUCUGGCUCAGGAUGAACGCUAGCUACAGGCUUAACACAUGCAAGUCGAGGGGAAACGAUAUUGGAAGCUUGCUUCCGAUAGGCGUCGACCGGCGCACGGGUGAGUAACGCGUAUCCAACCUGCCCACCACUUGGGGAUAACCUUGCGAAAGUAAGACUAAUACCCAAUGAUAUCUCUAGAAGACAUCUGAAAGAGAUUAAAGAUUCAUCGGUGAUGGAUGGGGAUGCGU